rnacentral:lncRNA from 1 species
AAAGAAACUCAAAAUCCUUCAUUCAUUCAAUUCAAAACAGAGUACAAGGAUUGAGUACAAAAUAUUCUUUCAAACAUAAAGGAAAGUACAAAAUGACAUGGUUAGACUGUAGGCUUCUGUUUGUUGAGCUCUUCCAACUCUCCUUUGAACCUUUUCAUCAUGUCUUCACAAAGAUAAAUAAAGUCGGUCACUGAAGGAGGGAUGUUG